rnacentral:rRNA from 1 species
UGAGGGAUCUUGCACAAUGGGGGCAACCCUGAUGCAGCGACGCCGCGUGGGCGAUGAAGGUCUUCGGAUCGUAAAGCCCUUUUCCAGGUGACGAGUAAGGACGGUAGCCUGGGAAGAAGUCUCGGCUAACUACGUGCCAGCAGCCGCGGUAAAACGUAGGAGGCGAGCGUUAUCCGGAGUUACUGGGCGUAAAGCGCAAGCAGGCGGUUGGGCAAGUUGGGUGUGAAAGCGUGCGGCUAAACUGCACGAGGCCAUUCAAGACUGCCCGGCUGGAGGACGGUAGAGGGGCGCAGAAUUCGGGGUGUGGCGGUGAAAUGUGUAGAGAUCCCGAGGAAUACCAGUGGGGAAGCCGGCGCCCUGGGCCGUACCUGACGCUGAGAUGCGAAAGCGUGGGGAGCGAACG